rnacentral:rRNA from 1 species
GAUCCUGGCUCAGAACGAACGCUGGCGGCAAGCCUAACACAUGCAAGUCGAACGGACAAUUAUUUAUAGCCUCUGGCUAUAGGAAAUUGUUAGUGGCAGACGGGUGAGUAAUGCGUAGGAAUCUACCUAGUAGUACGGAAUAGCCAUUAGAAAUGGUGGGUAAUACUGUAUAAUCCCCGAGGGGGAAAGAUUUAUCGCUAUUAGAUGAGCCUACGUUAGAUUAGCUAGUUGGUGAGGUAAUGGCUUACCAAGGCUAUGAUCUAUAGCUGGUCUGAGAGGACGAUCAGCCACACUGGAACUGAGAUACGGUCCAGACUCCUACGGGAGGCAGCAGUGGGGAAUAUUGGACAAUGGGCGAAAGCCUGAUCCAGCUAUGCCGCGUGAGUGAAGAAGGCCUUCGGGUUGUAAAACUCUUUCAAUAGGGAAGAUAAUGACGGU